GUUUUGCUUUCGGCAGACUACAUUAUAAUCAUCUAAACCUCAGCAACGCGAGUUUUUGAAAUGGUUUUAUUUGUAUCACUGUUUCUUUCAAAGGCAUAAUUUCUUGCGACUCGCACAGAUUACGCAACACAGCAGCGAAGAAUCUAUUUUAAAUUUCCGACAUACCGUAAUCACAACGCAGUAACGACGUAGUGCAGCAGACGACAGCUUCUGUAGCUUGUGCGCCAUUGCCACAGCCAGAAACGCUAGCGACUAUCGGAUUUGGUAGAGUUACUUUGUAUAUUACAGCGACAGUGGAAUUUAGUCUUUAUUUGAGCGGCAAAGCAUUCUGACAAAAUGAGUCAAAUAGGCAAGAACCGCCUCGACGAGCGCUCGCAAAAAGCCAGCCAGGAUGGACUGUCGCACGAUGCUGAAAUGACUUCGCGAGUUCAGGUACCGACCCAGCCUCCCGUCCACGAGAACGAUCUCCUAAAGUUGGCGGAGACAAGGAGCCCAUCGCUGACCUGGAGACGAUCUGCGAAGAAUUCAGAAAAAUUUUAAGCGAGAUUGAACAGCAGACUCAGAUCGAGGAGCUAUACCUGUCCGGCGUACAGGAAACCGUUGGCGCAAAGGUGGCAGAGGCGGUGGAGGAGUUCGUAAAGUGCGUGAGACGAUACUUCGAGGACAAAAGGAAGACGGUCUUCAAGAUCGUAUCGGAGACCAACGGCGCCCUGCAGAGAAUCGCCGAACACAACAAGAUGCGAGACACCAUCAAAGAGGCGAUGGAGGCGACCUGGAACGCACUCGCGUGAAUGCGACAUUGUAUUACGUUGUCGAAUAAGGCAAACGAAUAAAUGAG